rnacentral:rRNA from 1 species
CUACGGGCGGCAGCAGUGGGGAAUAUUGCACAAUGGACGAAAGUCUGAUGCAGCAACGCUGCGUGGAGGAUGACACAUUUCGGUGCGUAAACUCCUUUUAUAUAGGAAGAUAAUGACGGUACUAUAUGAAUAAGCGCCGGCUAACUCCGUGCCAGCAGCCGCGGUAAUACGGAGGGCGCAAGCGUUACUCGGAAUCACUGGGCGUAAAGAGCGUGUAGGCGGAUAGAUAAGUCAGGAGUGAAAUCCUAUGGCUCAACCAUAGAACUGCUCUUGAAACUGUCUAUCUAGAAUAUGGGAGAGGUAGAUGGAAUUUCUGGUGUAGGGGUAAAAUCCGUAGAGAUCAGAAGGAAUACCGAUUGCGAAGGCGAUCUACUGGAACAUUAUUGACGCUGAGACGCGAAAGCGUGGGGAGCAAACAGGAUUAGAUACCCUUGUAGUC